rfam:Otolemur garnettii contig116909, whole genome shotgun sequence.
GCCAGGCCUGGUGACAUGUGCCUGUUGUCCCAGCCACUGAAGAAACUGAAGUGGGAGCAUCACUUGAACCCAGGAGUUCUGGGCUAUCAUGUUGCCAAUCAGGUGUCUGCACUAAGUUUGGCAUCAGUAUGGUGACCUCCAGGGAGACAGGGACUACUAAGUUGCCUAAAGAGGGUUGACCUGUGCCAGGUUAGAAACAGCAAGUCAAAACUUCUGUGCUGGUCGGUACUGGAAUUGUGCCUGGGAAUAGUCACUGUGCUCCAGCUGGGGCAGCAAAGGGACACCUGGUCUCUA